UUGAACGCUGGCGGCAUGCCUUACACAUGCAAGUCGAACGGUAGAGGGGCAACCCUUGAGAGUGGCGAACGGGUGAGUAAUGCAUCGGAACGUGCCCAGUCGUGGGGGAUAACGCAGCGAAAGCUGUGCUAAUGCCGCAUGUGAUCUGUGGAUGAAAGCAGGGGACUUGGUAGCGAUACUGGGCCUUGUGCGAUUGGAGCGGCCGAUGUCAGAUUAGGUAGUUGGUAGGGUAAAAGCCUACCAAGCCGACGAUCUGUAGCUG
rnacentral:rRNA from 1 species